rnacentral:lncRNA from 1 species
GUGUGUUUGGGUAUCCAGGACUGGCUGAGGUGGGAGUGCUGGUUUCUGAUGAUGGGAAGGUGCACAGAUAUCUGGAGUUCAGACCUGCCUCCUGGCUGAAGAUGAAUGCCAGAAACAGUACCUGUCCCAGAAGAUGUGUUGCCUCUGCAGUCUGCACACUCACCUGCACAGACUGGUCUCCGAGGGACGCGGUACACAAGAUGGCUCUCUCACCUGCUCUGGUGGUCAGAGCCCUCCAGGGUGGACACCUCUCCUCUGGCGGGGAAGGUGCCCAGGUGUCUGGAGCCUGAAAUAUGGUCUGUUCCAGAAUCUGUUGCUUCUGUCUGUCCCAUAAGCUGUGUUGCUUCUGCAGUCUGCACUCUUACCUGCGCAGAUUGGUCUCUAAGGGACCCGGGACCCAAGAUCUUGAGGUUGUAUCUUACAUAUAUUUAUGGGUCUUAUUGAUAGUUUUAUUGCAGUUCUUGGGGAUUUAGUCCAGGGCCUU